UUUUAUGCCUAAUUCGUUUCCUUGAAGGGUGCAACCAUUAUGUGAAGCUUUAUUUUUUGCGAUAUUAUAUAAGCAAAGCUUUUUUUUGACAGUUUUGUAACAGUUGCUGAUAACAUUAUAGUCUUAAUUACAUAACACAGCAUAUUUUCUUUUUUUUUUUAUUCUUUAUUUAACAUUUGGCAAUGACAUAACAAGCAAUCUGCCGCACAUAUAUUCCACAUUUUCCUGCUGGUUACAUUGCUCAUGAAAAAUACCCAGAGCACCGGGCCCCGACCACAGUCCCCCAGCUCCCGCUCCUCCAGCCAAGUGCCAGGGUCGUGCACUUUGCUCCGAGUUUUAGGCUUGUAUGUGCGUCCCCUCGGCUCUUUAUCAGUCCCUUCCCAUGUCAAUGCCACAUUAAACAGAAGUCCAACUGAACAGUAAUAAACCAGAAAGAAUGAAGUUGUCUCCAUCCCGCUCCCAUAUAUUCAUCGCAUUGUCACCCCAGGCCUCUGGACCUCCCAUUCCAUCCCUACCACCCUCGACCCACCCCCGAGGAGGAACGCUAUUCCGUGGGCCAAGUUCCAUCCUCGGUCCUGUCGACCUCAACACAGCAUAUUUUCUAAUGCAUUACAUAAACUCUGAUCCUGAUCCCUGUUCUCCUGUCAUUUCUUAAUGCAUCAAAUAGAUAAAAUACAAUAAACUGAUGGGUAAUAAACCCUCUCUACAGUAUAAGAUCGGUAGGAUGUUCGCAAUUGGUUUUCAAUAAUAACCAAAAAAAACGCAAUGGUCAAUUAUGCGACUGUUACGCGAUGAAUUGAGUUUAAACCAAAUUUUGAACUGAAAAACCAGGGUGCGACUAUGCGGUGAAAUACGGUAGUAGUAGAAAACCGGAUUAGCAAAUAUCUUUAUGGUAUAGAAUAGAUUGCUGCUAUUUCUAUAAAUAGGGGCAAGAAAUGUUACGUUGAAUUCCAAUUAAUGCUUUAUAGCCAGAUCUGGGCGGGUUAUCACCUACGCCAGGAGUUCAUUGUCUUUUGUUUAAAUAGAAAUAAGCAGGGGAGGCAGGCGUUAGUUUGAGUCACAGUGUGACCAUGUUAAUGCCUGCAGCCUUCACUCUAUUAGCUGUUGGAAAGCAGACAAAAUGUGGUUUUAUUCACUUGGUGGCCUAAUUCACAGCUUCUCACAGUCUAUGGAGUUUUUCUACAACACACAUCUCUUCGUGGCUACAUUUAAUAACCAGAGUAAGCAGUAUUUUCUAAAACCUGAAAUAUUUUGUUUUAAAAAAUGUUUUUAUUUUUUGGCCAUUUGCAAAAUUUUCAGACUUGUCUGACUCUGAAUUUACAAAUGAACAGGAAACGUUGUUUGUGUGUGUUAGUGUCACAGCAUCACCGUAAUGUCUUGGAAGUGUUCUAGAAAUUUAAUAAAAUACUGUGCUUGUACCAAGCAUUUACAGAUAGCAAUAGAGUGAAGGUUUUCUGGAAUGGUUGUGUCCUUCAAACACAUCCUUAACCCCUUCAUGACAGAUGACAAAUCCUAGGAUGUCAUUAUGGUUAUGACCUGUCCAAUUUGUCUUGAAGGUAUUUAAAUAAGUCUGUCAUAUAACCAUUGUAUACUUGCCAACUUUUCCAAACUUGUAGCUGAGACAGCACUGGAACAUGGCAGUGAUACAAAUUUUCACAGGCACCCCCGUGCUGGGUCCAAUGUGUAGCUGUGAAAUUGAAUUAUCCUCUUGGUGGGCAGGAGGACCGAAUUACAAGCUGCAUUUUAAGGUCCCCCCACCCCCUGUUAAAAACAGGCCUGAGUAAUAGAUCAAAACUGUCCUGUUGAAUUGAGGGCUGUUGGCACAUGGUUGUUUUUAAAACGUUAGGGGUGGAUAAUGUUGCCACUUCCUCCUGACUAUGAACUAUUGUACAAAGUGGCGCUGCCAGCAUAUCCUGCUUAUGUACCAUGAUUUAAUGUUUUAAAAGAUUUAUAUAGUGGGACAAUGCUAAUCUGAAUAAUUUUGUAAUUUUAAGCAGAUUUAGUUUUUUUGGAGAGCAAAAUGUUUUGGGUGUUUUUUGUCUGUUUUUUCUGUUUGUCAACCUAUAGUUGCAAUAUAACAUCUUAAAAAAUACAUGCCCAAGUGGCCACCUGCAGAGAAAAACAAACCCAUAUCUUCAUGUGUUUCUAGCCAUACGUUAUUAUAGAUGACAUCCUUUACACUAUAGGUAUAAUGUUUAAAGUGAUAUGAUAAAAGGACAUUUUAGUCACUGUGCCACCUUUUCUAAGUAGCUGUAGUUGAUCGCUAUAAAGACUUGCAUUAUCACUGAAGAAAUAUUUUUGACAUGAACUCCUAGAAAACUGAUUUAUAGUUUUUCUGGUUCUCAAAACCCUGCAUUUCUGAAGUUUCUGUCUGUUCCAAGGAGCUGCAGAAGACCUGGGCUGUUGUAGGGUCAUCUAUUUACCUAACAGAAGAAUUUUAAAAUUGCAAUUGGUUUGAAAAUAAAAAUACCAAAUACAUUAAUUUAUCAAACUCUAACAGGUUUAUUUGCUAAACACCAAAUUUGGUUAAUAUGACUGAAUUCAAACCGGCUGGGCAAUUUCCAUAUUAAUUGAAGCCAACAUUGGUUGAAAUGUGUUCCUCCCGCCUGAGGCUCCAUCAUUUGGCUAGAUGCAUUUCGAGUCAACUUUUAAAUUCAGGUGUUUGUGGGUUGUUGCUUUUAAAUGUAUUUAUUUUAUUUAAACAUUUAAAUGCUAUAUAAAGCAUUAAAUCUUGACAUGUGCAAAGCACUGUUUCUUAACAUCUGGGCAGAAUGCAUCAGGUAAGAUGGACAUUCAUAUAUUCUAGUAACAACAAAAAACAUUGAUGGUGUGAGGGUUGUUAUGUGGCAGCUGUCUGGUAUGUGCUGAUCAGCCAGUACAAACCAUGGGGCUUACUAUAACCAUUCAGUUUAACAUAUCUGAUAAAUAGUGGAGAGCCAGGAAUGGCACCAGUAGAAUAUUGGGGGGACUUGGAACUGAUCCCUUCCCCAAACAUGUUGGCUGAUCAUGGGUUUAUUCAAGAAACGAUAGGUGAAAAUGAUUCACACAUAGCUGUAAAAUUAAGAAUUAAAACCGGUAUUUGCCUGAUAUUGUAACACCCCAGAACUGGAUUUGUUUUUUUUCCCUUUACAUGUCCCUAGGCUGUAAUACACCUUUACUGACGUGCUGAAAUCAGGAAUUGAGUUUGUCUCUAAACAACUCGAGGGGAUUGCAGUUAUCCACUGAUAUGAAGAAUCUAUGAGCAUGCAUGUAUAUGAUAUCAAAGACAUGGAAUGCAGUUUGAUUACGUGCCAUGAAAUAGCAUACAGUUUGCAUAUCCACGUAAAUCUUAUACGUUACCCGACGUGAUCUUCAUUUGUGUCUAUAAGGAAAAACCCUUGUGUGUUUUUAAUGCCAUGUGGUUAAAAUGUCAAAGGUGCUCCAAAACUCAGCACUCCAGAAAGAAAAUCAACUCAUAGUUGCCAUAAAAACAGCUUCUUCUUUAUCUAUCGUUAUAUCCAAGUCAGUCAUACAAAAAAACCUAUAAAUGUACGAAGGGGGGUGAGGAGCAAAAAAAAAAAAAUGAAUUAAUUGUACCACGUGCCCAGGAAAGCUUUUGACAUAAGGAGGUUAUAUCACUUAUUGCUAGGAUCUCCCCACCUGGAGAUACAGACCUGGGGGUGCAGCUUGGGAAUUUUGUCUUUUCUGAACAAUGCUGUAUUAGAUUUUUUUUUAAAUUACCCACUUAGUUGCCCUUAUAUGUAGUGCAAUAAACAAUCUCUUUUAAAUAUUUGUUUGUUUUAUUUGGACAAUUGCCAAAAAUGUGUAACUGAGAAUGAAGGAAUUCUUAUCGAAGACUAGAAUGGUUAGGUUAUUAUUUAGAUUAGAGAGAAGGCCGUGACAAAACUAGUGUUCAACUUUUAAACUGCAAUAAAGUGGUUUGUUUUUUGAUUGCGGUUGUGUGUGCUAUAAGCAGAGGUGGAGUGCUGUGAGAUUAUAUCUAUAAAUAUACACGUUCUAUAUAAAAUCAUGUAUAACUUGAUGGAAAAAUAUGGUUUGACUGGUAUUGACUGAGUGAAUUUUCAGUUUUAUCAAAUGUCUUGUCCUACAAUAAUUUAAAAAAAAAAACCUUUUUGAAUAAAGAAAUGUCGUAUUGAAUUUCAUUCAAAUGUAAAUAAACAUUCUAGAACAGACUGUUUUUGUACUGUUAAUGUUCAUUGGGUCAAUGAAAGCUAAGUACAAAUCUAAAGAGGUUUAAUGUAAUUGCAGUCUACCAUAGGAUUAGACUUAUUGUAAACUGGUUUCUGCAGAGCAGAAGUUGAAAAGCUGGUUCUAUUUCUGAACAAAACCUAUUUUACCUCUUAUGACUGGUAAAAUAUACAAG